rnacentral:rRNA from 1 species
GUAGCUGGCCCCUGACCGGGCAUGUGCACGCCUCUUUCAAAUCCACAAACACCUGUGCACCUUUGCGUGAGUUUCUGGGGAUGGGGUGGCAACGCCUCUAGUACCGGGAGCUCGCGUCCUUUUCACAAACCUUUGUAUGUCUUUAAGAAUGUCUAUCUUGAUGAAAUGAAACGCAUCUAAUACAACUUUCAACAACGGAUCUCUUGGCUCUCGCAUCGAUGAAGAACGCAGCGAAAUGCGAUAAGUAAUGUGAAUUGCAGAAUUCAGUGAAUCAUCGAAUCUUUGAACGCACCUUGCGCCCUUUGGUAUUCCGAAGGGCACACCUGUUUGAGUGUCGUGAAAUUCUCAACCCUCCUCACUUUUGUGAUGGUAGUGGCUUGGACUUGGAGGCUUUGCCGGCUUCGUUCGGCUCCUCUCAAAUGCAUUAGUGCGUCUCGUUGCGAUGUACCUUCGGUGUGAUAAUUAUCUACGCCGUGUGUGUACUCGCUUCUUGUGGGAUGUGCUUCUAACCGUCCGAAAGGACAAUUCAUCGAAACUUGACCUCAAAUCAGGUGGGACUACCCGCUGAACUUAAGCAUAUCAAUAAGCGGAGGAAAAGAAACUAACAAGGAUUCCCCUAGUAACUGCGAGUGAAGCGGGAAAAGCUCAAAUUUAAAAUCUGGCGGUCUCAGGCCGUCCGAGUUGUAGUCUGGAGAAGCGUCUUCCGUGC